CCUACGGGAGGCUGCAGUGGGGAAUAUUGGACAAUGGGCGAAAGCCUGAUCCAGCCAUGCCGCGUGUGUGAAGAAGGCCUUCGGGUUGUAAAGCACUUUCAGUGGGGAAGAAAGCCUUGGGGCUAAUACCCUCGAGGAAGGACAUCACCCACAGAAGAAGCACCGGCUAACUCCGUGCCAGCAGCCGCGGUAAUACGGAGGGUGCGAGCGUUAAUCGGAAUUACUGGGCGUAAAGCGCGCGUAGGCGGUCUGAUAAGCCGGUUGUGAAAGCCCCGGGCUCAACCUGGGAACGGCAUCCGGAACUGUCAGGCUAGAGUGCAGGAGAGGAAGGUAGAAUUCCCGGUGUAGCGGUGAAAUGCGUAGAGAUCGGGAGGAAUACCAGUGGCGAAGGCGGCCUUCUGGAAUGACACUGACGCUGAGGUGCGAAAGCGUGGGUAGCAAACAGGAUUAGAUACCCGAGUAGUC
rnacentral:rRNA from 1 species